GACGAACGCUGGCGGCGUGCUUAACACAUGCAAGUCGAACGGAAAGGCCCUGCUUUUGUGGGGUGCUCGAGUGGCGAACGGGUGAGUAACACGUGAGUAACCUGCCCUUGACUUUGGGAUAACUUCAGGAAACUGGGGCUAAUACCGGAUAGGAGCUCCUGCUGCAUGGUGGGGGUUGGAAAGUUUCGGCGGUUGGGGAUGGACUCGCGGCUUAUCAGCUUGUUGGUGGGGUAGUGGCUUACCAAGGCUUUGACGGGUAGCCGGCCUGAGAGGGUGACCGGCCACAUUGGGACUGAGGUAGGGCCCAGAACGCUACCGGAGGCAACAGUGGGGAAUAUUGCACAAUGGGCGGAAGCCUGAUGCAGCAACGCCGCGUGCGGGAUGACGGCCUUCGGGUUGUAAACCGCUUUCGCCUGUGACGAAGCGUGAGUGACGGUAAUGGGUAAAGAAGCACCGGCUAACUACGUG
rnacentral:rRNA from 1 species